rnacentral:rRNA from 1 species
UACAUGGGGUGCAAACGUUGCUCGGAAUUACUGGGCGUAAAGCGCACGUAGGCGGCUUUGCAAGUUAGAGGUGAAAGCCCGGGGCUCAACUCCGGAAUUGCCUUUAAAACUGCAUCGCUAGAAUUGUGGAGAGGUAAGUGGAAUUCCGAGUGUAGAGGUGAAAUUCGUAGAUAUUCGGAAGAACACCAGUGGCGAAGGCGACUUACUGGACACAUAUUGACGCUGAGGUGCGAAAGCGUGGGGAGCAAACAGG